AGCUCCAAUAGUAUAUAUUAGUGUUGUUGCAGUUAAAGCGCUCGUAGUUGGAUUUUGGAACGGUUUUCCUGGUCUGCCGAAAGGUAUGUACUGGGUGAAUUGUUCUUCCUUCUGAAGAGAUGCAAUACUCUUAAUUGAGUGUUGUAUGGAUUCAGGACUUUUACUUUGAAAAAAUUAGAGUGUUCAAAGCAGGCAAUCGCUUGAAUACAUUAGCAUGGAAUAAUAAAAUAGGACUUUGGUUCUAUUUUGUUGGUUUCUAGGACUGAAGUAAUGAUUAAUAGGGAUAGUUGGGGGCAUUAGUAUUUAAUUGUCAGAGGUGAAAUUCUUGGAUUUAUGAAAGACUAACUUCUGCGAAAGCAUUUGCCAAGGAUGUUUUCAUUAAUCAAGAACGAAAGUACGC
rnacentral:rRNA from 1 species